rnacentral:rRNA from 1 species
CAGAGGUCUCAACCGUUGUUCGGAUUCAUUGGGCGUAAAGGGUGCGUAGGCGGUCGUGCAAGUCGGAUGUGAAAUCUCAGGGCUCAACCCUGAAACUGUAUUCGAUACUGCGCGGCUAGAGUGCUGGAGGGGAGACUGGAAUUUACGGUGUAGCAGUGAAAUGCGUAGAUAUCGUAAGGAAGACCAGUGGCGAAGGCGAGUCUCUGGACAGCAACUGACGCUGAGGCACGAAGGCCAGGGGAGCAAACGGGAUUAGAUACCCCGGUAGUCCUGGCAGUAAACGGUGCACGUUUGGUGUAAGCGGAUUCGACCCGCUUGUGCCGGAGCUAACGCGUUAAACGUGCCGCCUGGGAAGUACGGUCGCAAGAUUA